rnacentral:rRNA from 1 species
GACAAACGCUGGCGGCGUGCUUAACACAUGCAAGUCGAACGAGACGAUUGAAAGCUUGCUUUUGAAAGUCGAGUGGCAAACGGGUGAGUAACGCGUAGGCAACCUGCCUCUAGGAUGGGGACAACAGUCCGAAAGGACUGCUAAUACCGAAUGUUGUAUCAAUUCCGCAUGGAGUUGGUAUGAAAGAUGGCCUCUACUUGUAAGCUAUCACCUAGAGAUGGGCCUGCGUCUGAUUAGCUAGUUGGUGGGGCAACGGCCUACCAAGGCGACGAUCAGUAGCCGGUCUGAGAGGAUGAACGGCCACAUUGGAACUGAGACACGGUCCAAACUCCUACGGGAGCAGCAGUGAGGAAUAUUGGUCAAUGGACGAGAGUCUGAACCAGCCAAGUAGCGUGCAGGAUGACGGCCCUAUGGG